GUUUCUUGUCGCAUCGUAGAUAUGAACAAAACGUAAUGCGUAAAACGAAAAAAGAAAAAAGAAAAAUGAAGCAAGAGUCGAAAUUUCUUUUACAAUUUCUGAUUUAAAAUGAUCGAAAAUAGAAUUAAAGAAAAAUUAUUAAAAUUACUAAAUUAGUGACAAUGACAAUUACCCGAUAAGUAUAUUAAUAUAAGUAUAUAUUAAAAUCGCGCCCUUCUCAGUCUUGUAUUGUCACGUGACCAACAUAACCUCUAAAUUGUCAAAAAAAAAAAAAAAAAUAAAGUUCUUUAUAACAUUUGAUUUCUUUUCAUUUCAUUUCGAUUACCGAGCGAGUAUCGAAUAUGAUCUUCUACAACAUAUAUAGAGGCCGCUACCAAUCUAAACGAUUUCUAUUUGAUUAUCAUUAAUAUUUUACCGAAGAAUACAUUGUCACUUAUUUUAUAUUUGUUCUGUUAUAAUAGUAACGUCAACUGAUCACGGAACAGAGAGAGAAACUUCUGGAAAACUUGCAAACGUUUGCGUUACUUUACUCUGCGAGUAACUAACGGCUUAUUGGAGCAUCACUAAAGUCACAUGAUCAACUUGCCGAUAGAAAACGUGCACAUGCACUUUCGAAGGUUGUUCUACAUUACAAAGAUUAUAGAAUAGAAGAGUUACAUACCUAUUACGUGGAACGCUGAACCAAUAUUCAGGACGCAGUUUCUUUUUCCCAUAACUCAUAAUAGGCGUAGAUCGUGGUAUUUUUUUAUCUUUAGGUCUACCAGUUCGUAGUCUCAGAUACAAUGGAGGAUCUUCACAAGAUCGUGCUGGUCGUGGUAUCAGUUCUGUGUAAUUGGAAGAAAAAUAUUUCAUUGUAAUAUAUUAAAGUACAUAAUUAUCUUAGAUAUAACAUUGUACUUUCAUUUUACAAUGAAUCCUCUCAAAUGUUAAAAUUAAAAAAUUAAUGUUAUUUUGAAUUUGUAUAUACACGAAAGGUCCUCACUCUUCUGUACAAUAAAAAAGUUAAUGUCUUAUCUUAAAAUAGCUAUAAGAAAAAUGAACACUGCAUAAUUGAAUAAAACUGAUUAAUUUCAACUGGUCCUCUCAGUAUUAAGCUGAAUAUCUGCAUAAGAAAUACCACACUAAAAACAUUUGACAAUUUUAUAAUUGCUUAGAUAUUUUUUGAAUAAAAAAAAGAAAAAAGAAAAAAAAAAAAAGAAAAAAAGAGAAGCAUUUUACAAUCAAAUUUUAUCAUAUUUAUAAUAAAAAAUUCAUGCACAAAAUAUGUAUAAAUAUUGUAUUUAACAUCAAUAAUAAUAUAUGAUAUUUGAAAUUCAAUUUCGUUCAGCCAGUGAUAAAUGUACGUAAUAAGUGGUUCAAUAAAAUAACAAUUAUUACACGAUAACUAAUAUCAUAAAAAAUUUAAGAAAAAAUUCAUUACGUACUGUGAUUUUAAUUUUAUAUUAUUUAAUAUAAAAAAGAUAUCAUACAAAGGGCAAUAGUUAAAUCAAGAUAAUCGAAAGAGUUGAAAUAGAAAAUUGAGAAAUAUAAUAUUAUCACGCAUAGAAGAACAAUUUAAACAACAUCGAUAAUAAAUUAUAGUGUAAAGUAAGUGAUCCUAUAUAUUCUUGAAUAUAGUGUGCACCUGUAGGCAGCAAAUCGAAGAAAGUAAAAAAAUAUAAAUAUUUAUAAUGUUGGUCAUUAAAAUUUAGCAAACAAAAGAAUCUUUCGCAUGGUAAUAUAAGGAGAAAAUAAGGAUUCAGAAUUAAGCUGAAAUAUAAUGUUAAAGAAAAAGGACAAAAAAAAAAAAAAAAAGAAAAAAAAAUGGAUGGUCAUAACACAAGAAUAGGGAUAGAGCAAGCUAAUACAGUAUGAACCUACCGAGGCCUUCAAGUUCAGGAAAAUUAGGUGCUUGGACUAGAGGGACAACAAAAACAUGUAACAUUACUGCAUUAGUAUGAAUUUGUUGCUAAUGAAUGAUGAAACCCGUCGUGCUAAUGAAAAGUUCCCUAUCUGUAUACAUUCAUGCAUAUUACUAUCAAUAUGAACAAUGUAUAAAAAAGUAAUCUUCUAAAAGAUAAAUAUAGGAAAAGUUAGAAGAACACUACAUUGUUAUAACAAUUAUGUGAUCAUACAAUGAACAAUUCAUAAUCGUCUUAAACACAUAAGAUGGCACAAAGGGUUUCAAGAUUCUCAAUAGAUAAUCAUGUUUCUUAUCGAAGAAAGAAAAUUUGGCAUUCCUAAUAUUUUAUGUAAUGAAAAAGCAUUUUGUACAAUGAGAAAUUUACAAAAAUAGUUUGUUUAAAAAUACCAUUUAUUGUUAGCUAUGAAAUUUGUUAUUGUAAUUAUAUUAUGAAAUAACUAUUAUUUUUCUUUUUUUUUUUUUUUUGUAUUAUCCAUCUAAUCACAUUAUGAUUUUGUUCUAUAUUAUUAAAUUAUUAUAAUAUGAAUAUAAUAAAUAACAGUCUCAUAACCCUUUUAAAUUAAAAGGAGAAGGAUAUAAAAUUGUAACGCACUUAAUAUAGACUCCAACAUGACAAAUGAGCAUAUUUCAAAACUAUAAUUUAAAACGUACUUCAAAAAUAUAGAAUACGUAAACUACUUGAAUAUAGAAUGAAAUAAGCGCAUUUGGUUACUAUUUAUUUACAUUAUAUUAAGACAGAAAGAUUAUUAUAUUUUCGAUUUAAAAUCGCACGUAUCAAUUUUGAUAUUUAUUUGUAUCCAAAAGCGCCCAAUGUUUAUGCAAAGGGACACUAAUACAUUAGCAACGUAACAUUAUCUAAAAAGCCGUCUAGCAUAUACGAGCGAGUGCAGUGCGAAACACGUAGUUCCCGUUUACCAUUCUUACCGUUAAAUGUAUGUGUUUUUUUCUUAUAUCAAAGUUCUUACGAAAAUUAGCCCAACUAGUAAUGGAAUCGCGUAAAUGAAAAAAGUUCGUCAGAGAAGGAAAGUCUAUCUUAUUGUAAUGUGUUAAGACUAGUAUCGUUAUUCUUUCCGAUAAGAAUGUAUAACUUCCAGACUAAUACAUCAUUUUAAUCAUAACGAUACUUACUGUCAAAACUGACGAACAGUCCUGGCAUAUCCUCAACGGAAACCAUACUGCGAUAAUCCAGUCGUGGUGCUUGCGUUAAAGUUUUACUUCCACGAUUACUAUCAACGCUGCUACUACCUGAGGAUGUUAGAGGUUGUUGUCUGAUGAAAGUACCCACGGAAGAACGCCUGAAAAAUGAAUCAAGAAUGAAACUACAUUCAUAAAAAUGUGUUCAUCGACAUUACGAGUAUAAAAUCAACGAAUGUCCCUUUCAUUUUAUAAUAACAUUCGAACGAAAUCCUCGUAAUGCUAAAAUUAUUUUGAUUAAUAUAAGUCGACAACAUUGACAUUGAGUAGGAGAUACAUCCAAUGCAGAAUUUGUAUGUCCAGCGUAUGCUGCAAACUAACUUUGUGGCUAUUUCAAGAUACUAUAUAUGCUGUGUAGAUUAAUAAUGUAUUGCAUUUGAUUGUAAGCAGUUUUGUUAAGCUUUAAUAUAGCAAACUGUAGUAUUCGAUAAACUGAUAGAGUUCUGGAGAGAUGUAACAUUUACCUGAAAGCAGGAACCAUCUGGGGGACCCUUAACCCCAGAAAGAUAAAAGUUUAAAGAUACAAAGGUGAAAGUUAAAGAAGUGUAUGGAUAUGAUAAGCAUAAUAUAUAGACGUAUACAUAUAAAACAUAUAUAAAGGAAUAUUGGGGAAAAAAAAAAGAAAAAAAAAAAAAAAAAAAAAAAAAAAAAAAAAAAUUUCUUUUA